GCUUACGGCCAUACCACCCUGAGAACGCCCGAUCUCGUCUGAUCUCGGAAGCUAAGCAGGAUCGGGCCUGGUUAGUACUUGGAUGGGAGACCGCCUGGGAAUACCAGGUGCUGUAAGCUUUU
rnacentral:rRNA from 1 species